rnacentral:rRNA from 1 species
UACGUAGGGGGCGAGCGUUGUCCGGAGUUACUGGGCGUAAAGGGUGCGUAGGCGGCCGCGCGCGUGGCGGGGGAAAUCUCUCGGCUUACCCGGGAGGGUGCUUGCCAGACGGCGUGGCUUGAGGGACGGAGAGGGGCGUGGAAUUCCGGGUGGAGCGGUGAAAUGCGUAGAGAUCCGGAGGAACACCGACGGCGUAGGCAGCGCCCUGGCCGUUUCUUGACGCUGAGGCACGAAAGCUGGGGGAGCAAACAGG